ensembl:lncRNA
CCUGAUGUGAAGGGCCAACUCAUUGGAAAAGCCCCUGAUGCUAGGAAAGAUUGAGGGUAAGAGGAGAAAGGGGUGACAGAGGAUAAGAUAGUUGGAUGGCAUCACUGACUCCAUAGACAUGAGUUUGAGUAAACUCUGGGAGAUAGUGAAGGACAGGGAAGCCUGGCAUGCUGCAGUUCAUGGGGUUACAAAGAGUCAGACACAGCUGAGUGAACAACAAAAACAAAAACAAGCAAGGGAUCAUACUAAGUGCUUCAAACAUGUUUCUCUUUUAGUCCUUGGAGCUCUCUCAUCCCCAUGAAUAAAGGGAAGCUGGAAAGUUCAUAAGUGAUCUGCCCAAGGUCUCCAGCUGGGGGCCAAGAUUCAGAUUCAGGUCUGUCUGACACCUAAGUGGAUUAGCCUGUCUCCAUUCCACCCCUUCAGCCACUGCCUCUUUAACAGCCCCACCCUAACCACCUCCUCCAUCAGGGAGCCCACAUUCUUUGUUGCUGCCCCACCCAGGUCCCCACCGUGUCCACCCUCCAAGGCAUGAAACAGAUAUAGAAAAAGCAUGAAUGUUUUUGUACUUUGUUUUUUUAGCUGCUGCCACAUGGCAUGCGGGAUCCUUAAUUCCCAGACCCGUGACCCUUGCUGUGGAAGCAGAGAGUCUUAACUGCUGGAUGGCCAAGGAAGUCCCAAAAAGGUGUACAAGGAAGACUGAGGUGAAUCUGCAGCUCCACAGCGACUUAGGCCAUUUUGGACUCACACAUGGAAUCCAAGGGAGGAGAGGAAAGCAGGAUGGUCCGACUGCAGCUGGGCAGGAAGUGUCCAGGGGUGGGGGCGGGGGGCGGGGAGGGCCUGAGAGGCUGGACAGUGAACGUGAGAGGCCCCGGCCUGCAGAGGAAGUAUGUAGAGGAGAAAGCCGCCAGGCUCCCCUUAUUUAUCACAGACACCGGAUGCCUGAAACCCAUCUCUAGCACUCAGCAUCUCCCCUGCCAGACCCUCUAGAUGUAUGGAGACAGCAACCAAGCCAAGCCUAAGCUCAGUGCUCCCCGUGUUAGUCAGUGGCUGAAGUCAGUUCUCUGACAGGCAUGCGAGCCUCUGUUUUCAUGAAGCUGGUGGAUUGUAUAUUUGCCUUCUUCUCCUUUCCCUAUGCUUCUUCCCCCACUGGCAAUUGGGCCACAGAAUUUCUUGGCCUAAAACAGAAAUCUGGGGACUUCCUAGUGGUUGUGACUAAGACUCUGAGCUCCCAAUGCCAGGCACCAGGUUCACCCUGAUUAGGGAACUAGAUCCCACAUGUCAUAGCCAAAAAAAUCCCAUGAGCAGCAGCUAAGACCCGGCACAGCCAACUGAGUAAUUAAUUAUUUAAGAAAUAAGAAAACAUAAAUCUGACCCCAUGGCUUUAUACCCCUCAAAACCUUUCAGGGUUGCCCAAUGCCUACAGCAAUACUUCUCCAAGUCAUCUUCCUUAGAACCUUCAUUCUUUGAUCAAAUAAGUUUAAGAAAUUCUCUAUAGCAUACCCAGGUUAGAGAAUCCAAACACAAAAUGACAAAUUAAGGGCUCCAAGUAGUCUUUUGGUAAAGAGCUGCUUUCAUUUUUUUACCCUGCUUUUUUCUUUUUAGUUGGAAAUGGCUGUCGUUGUUCUAUUUUGUUCUUUUGGUGUGCCGCACACAGCCUAUGGGAUCCCAGUUCUCUGACCAGGGAUAAAAUCUGGGCUCAGUGAAAGCACAGAAUCCCAACCAGUGGACCACCAGGGAAUUCCUUAUUGAUGUAUAGUUGAUGUACAAUAUUAUGUGUUACAAGUGUAUGGUAGAGUAAUUCCCAGUUCCUAAAGGUUAUACUCCAUUUAUACUUAGUACAAAAGAUUGACUAUAUUCCCUGUGCUAUACAAUAUAUCCUUGUAGCUUAUUUUAUACUCCGUAGUUUGUACCUCUUAAUCCUCUAACCCUAUGUCACUGUCCCCCUUCCCUCUCCCC